rnacentral:rRNA from 1 species
AUUGAACGCUGGCGGCAGGCCUAACACAUGCAAGUCGAGCGAGCGGCGGACGGGUGAGUAAUGUAUGGGGAUCUGCCCGAUAGAGGGGGAUAACUACUGGAAACGUAGGCUAAUACCGCAUACCAUCGGAUGAACUCAUAUGGGAGUGGCUAGUAGGUGGGGUAAAGGCUCACCUAGGCGACGUUACCGAGCUGGUCUGAGAGGAUGAUCAGCCAGACUGGGACGGAGACACGGCACAGACUCCUUGGGGCGCCGGCAGUGGGGAAUAUUGCACAAUGGGCGCAAGCCUGAUGCAGCCGUGCCGCGUGUAUGAAGAAGGCCUUAGGGUUGUAAAGUACUUUCAGCGGGGAGGCGUUACCCGCAGAAGAAGCACCGGCUAACUCCGUGCCAGCAGCCGCGGUAAUUC